rnacentral:tRNA from 1 species
GGGAUUAGCUCAGAGGUAGAGUGCUUGCCUAGCAUGUGGCAAGCAUGUGCCAAGCUCUAGGUUCUGGGUUCAAUUCCCAGUAACACA